rnacentral:rRNA from 1 species
CGGUUGAUCCUGCCGGACCCCACUGCUAUCGGGAUAGGACUAAGACAUGCAAGUCGAGCGCUUGCCAACCUAUGUUGGAAGCGCGGCCGACGUCUCAGUUACACGUGGCUAACCUCGCCUUAGGACGAGGAUAGUCCCGGGCUACUGGGGAUAAUCCUCGGGAGGUGGAGUCCUCUAUAGUGAGACUCCACCCAAAUGGCGCCUAAGUCAUGCUCUUAGGCGCCGCCCAAGGAUGGGGCCGCGACCGAUCAGGUAGUUGGUGAGGCAACGGCUCACCAAGCCUUUGACCGGUGCGGGCCGUGGGAGCGGGAGCCCGGAGAUGGGCACUGAGACAAGGGCCCAGGCCCUACGGGGCGCAGCAGUCGCGAAAACUUUGCAAUACACGAAAGUGUGACAAGGCUAUCCCGAGUGCCGUCCGCUGAGGAAGGCUUUUGCCCAGUCUAGAAAGCUGGGAGAAUAAGGAGAGGGCAAGUCUGGUGUCAGCCGCCGCGGUAAUACCAGCUCUCCGAGUGGUGUGGAUGUUUAUUGGGCCUAAAGCAUCCGUAGCCGGCUGAGUUAGUCCCCUGUUAAAUCCACCGAAUUAAUCGUUGGAGUGCGGGGGAUACUGCUCAGCUAGGGGACGGGAGAGGCCGACGGUAUUUCCGGGGUAGGGGUGAAAUCCUAUAAUCCCGGGAAGACCACCAGUGGCGAAGGCUGUCGGCUAGAACGCGCCCGACGGUGAGGGAUGAAAGCUGGGGGAGCGAACCGGACUAGAUACCCGGGUAGUCCCAGCUGUAAACGAUGCAGGCUAGGUGUUUGGGCGGCCACGGGCCGCUCUAGUGCCGCAGGGAAGCCGUUAAGCCUGCCGCCUGGGGAGUACGGCCGCAAGGCUGAAACUUAAAGGAAUUGGCGGGGGAGCAC